rnacentral:rRNA from 1 species
GACGAACCGUGCGAACGUUAUUCGGAAUCACUGGGCUUAAAGCGCGUGUAGGCGGAUGGGAACGUCGGUCGUUGAAAUCCCCCGGCUUAACCGGGAGACGGGCGCCGAUACGACCCGUCUGGAGGAACGUAGGGGGAGCUGGAACUUCCGGUGGAGCGGUGAAAUGCGUUGAGAUCGGAAGGAACGCCCGUGGCGAAAGCGAGCUCCUGGACGUUUUCUGACGCUGAGACGCGAAAGCCAGGGGAGCGAACGGG